rnacentral:rRNA from 1 species
UACGUAGGGUGCGAGCGUUAAUCGGAAUUACUGGGCGUAAAGCGUGCGCAGGCGGUGAUGUAAGACCGAUGUGAAAUCCCCGGGCUUAACCUGGGAACUGCAUUGGUGACUGCAUCGCUCGAGUAUGGCAGAGGGGGGUAGAAUUCCACGUGUAGCAGUGAAAUGCGUAGAUAUGUGGAGGAACAGCAGAUGGAGCGACCGCACCCUGGUCAAACUGA